rnacentral:rRNA from 1 species
AACGAACGCUGGCGGCAUGCCUAACACAUGCAAGUCGAACGAGAUCCUUCGGGGUCUAGUGGCGCACGGGUGCGUAACGCGUGGGAAUCUGCCCUUAGGUUCGGAAUAACAGUUAGAAAUGACUGCUAAUACCGGAUGAUGACGUUAAGUCCAAAGAUUUAUCGCCUGAGGAUGAGCCCGCGUAGGAUUAGCUAGUUGGUGUGGUAAAGGCGCACCAAGGCGACGAUCCUUAGCUGGUCUGAGAGGAUGAUCAGCCACACUGGGACUGAGACACGGCCCAGACUCCUACGGGAGGCAGCAGUGGGGAGUAUUGGACAAUGGGCGCAAGCCUGAUCCAGCAAUGCCGCGUGAGUGAUGAAGGCCUUAGGGUUGUAAAGCUCUUUUACCCGGGAUGAUAAUGACAGUACCGGGAGAAUAAGCCCCGGCUAACUCCGUG